UCGCACAUUUGGUGUCUGAUAUGAUUUUGGGAAACCAUUUGAUCAUAUGACAAGAUGUGUAUCUC
rnacentral:antisense_RNA from 1 species